rnacentral:lncRNA from 1 species
CGUAAAAUCUUGUCGAACUACAUCUACACCGAAUUGCUUUUCUAUGCUGAGAGUNCAACGCUUGCACGGAAGCUUGACUUGGCGAGAAGGAAUUAUAUUGACUACGAGGCAAUUCCCUGGCAGUUUAUCAUCAGCUCAACCAUGAAUACAAAAACGCUUCUUGUUCUUGUUGUCAUUGCCUCUGUAUUGGUGCUUGAAGCAACAGCCAUUCCUGUCAAAAUACGCAAAGAAUCCAACUUGCCCAGACGUUUCCAUGGCCUAGAAAGAAGAAGUCUACGAAAAAAAGGUUGCAAUCGUGGAGCCAUUUGUAGUCAUUCAAACGAAUGCAGUUGUGAAGGGAAGCACUAUCAUUGUGUUGACACUGGACGUUUAUUUAAGAUGUGUCUUGAACGUGCUUAGUGUAAAUGGUUUAUAUAAUUGUCUAUUCAACAAUAAAGCUACAGUGAUACAUACCAACAAAACUAUCCGACUAGAAAUUCACUAGAAUGAGUUUUAUUUGAGUUAUUUAAGAAUUCCUCCCCAAAAACUUAUAGUGUAAAUUGUGCAAUUUUCCACCACUGUAAAAUGGGUCUUUCUAUAGUUGAUUGGGUAGAGACACUUGUGUUUUAGGUAUGCGAAUAGUGCAGCGCCGUAGCUAUGAUCAGGCAAGCGAGGCACCUGCCUCGGUAAAAUUUUUAUCGAGAUUUCUUUAAUUCGUAUCCCCCCAAAAAGGUUCGAUCAAUGGUGUNAGAUAAAAAAGUCACAAUAUGCUUGGAAAAACGGUGGAAAUCAAAAUGUUUAGGGGAAGCAUCCCCGCGAACCCCCUAGAUACGACCGCUUGCGCCGGUCGCGUAAAGUGCCUCGGUUAUCAUUUUCCUCUGGCUACGGNGAUGUUCUGUGAUAGGUCCUCCCAACGACGAAUUUUCUUCUUACAAGAAAUCCGUCCAAUAAACGUUACAUGUAUUGCUAGACGAUAUCAUUAUUUUGCCUCCUUGUUUGUGAUUUUUAAUUUGUACCGAUUUCCGCUGAAGAUUAAUUGAAAGNUUAAUGUCACUACUAAGGAUUGUACUAUACAAUACAGUCCCUAACUGCAAUACAUGUACGAAUAUACACAUGAAUAUCAUGUUAGAGUGCAUGCUUACACUAUUUCCAUGAAAUAAAAUCUAAAUAGUUUCUA